rnacentral:rRNA from 1 species
CAGCAGCAGCCGCGGGAAUACGAAGGGGGCUAGCGUUGUUCGGAAUCACUGGGCGUAAAGCGCACGUAGGCGGAUCUUUAAGUCAGGGGUGAAAUCCCGAGGCUCAACCUCGGAACUGCCUUUGAUACUGGGGAUCUCGAGUCCGGGAGAGGUGAGUGGAACUGCGAGUGUAGAGGUGAAAUUCGUAGAUAUUGGGAAGAACACCGGUGGCGAAGGCGGCAACCUGGUCCAUGACUGACGCUGAGGCGCGAAAGCGUGGGGAGCAAACAGGAUUAGAUACCCCAGUAGUCCCUGUCUCUUAUAC